AUUGAACGCUGGCGGCAGGCCUAACACAUGCAAGUCGAACGAGUGGCGGACGGGUGAGUAAUGUCUGGGAAACUGCCUGAUGGAGGGGGAUAACUACUGGAAACGGUAGCUAAUACCGCAUACCAUCGGAUGUGCCCAGAUGGGAUUAGCUAGUAGGUGGGGUAAAGGCUCACCUAGGCGACGAUCCCUAGCUGGUCUGAGAGGGUGACCAGCCACACUGGGACUGAGACACGGUUCAGACCCCCACGGGGAGGAGCAGGGGGGAAUAUUUCAACAAGGGCGCCAGGCUGAAUCAAGCCUGGCGGGGUUUAGAAGAAGGCCCUCGGGGUGUAAAAGUCCUUCAGCGGGGAGGCGUUACCCGCAGAAGAAGCACCGGCUAACUCCGUGCCAGCAGCCGCGGUAAUUC
rnacentral:rRNA from 1 species